AGUGAACGCUGGCGGCAGGCCUAACACAUGCAAGUCGAGCGGCAGCGGGUCCUUCGGGAUGCCGGCGAGCGGCGGACGGGUGAGGAAUGCGUCGGAAUCUGCCUUUUUGUGGGGGAUAACGUAGGGAAACUUACGCUAAUACCGCAUACGACCUACGGGUGAAAGUGGGGGACCGCAAGGCCUCACGCAGAAAGAUGAGCCGACGCCGGAUUAGCUAGUUGGCGGGGUAAAGGCCCACCAAGGCGACGAUCCGUAGCUGGUCUGAGAGGAUGAUCAGCCACACUGGAACUGAGACACGGUCCAGACUCCUACGGGAGGCAGCAGUGGGGAAUAUUGGACAAUGGGCGCAAGCCUGAUCCAGCCAUGCCGCGUGUGUGAAGAAGGCCUUCGGGUUGUAAAGCACUUUUGUCCGGAAAGAAGUCCAAUCGAUUAAUACUCGGUUGGGAUGACGGUACCGGAAGAAUAAGCACCGGCUAACUUCGUGCCAGCCGCCGCCGUAAAAC
rnacentral:rRNA from 1 species